rnacentral:misc_RNA from 1 species
UCCGAGUUGACGGGGGCCCGCACAAGCGGCGGAGCAUGUGGCUUAAUUCGACGCAACGCGAAGAACCUUACCAGGGCUUGACAUGCGGGGUGAAGCCGGUGAAAGCCGGUCCUCCUUCGGGAGCCUGCACAGGUGCUGCAUGGCUGUCGUCAGCUCGUGCCGUGAGGUGUUGCCUUAAGUGGCGCAACGAGCGCAACCCCUGUCCGAUGUUGCCAGCGGGUAAUGCCGGGGACUCAUCGGAGACUGCCGGUGCCAAACCGGAGGAAGGUGGGGAUGACGUCCUCUACG